rnacentral:rRNA from 1 species
AAUGAACGUUGGCGGCGUGGAUUAGGCAUGCAAGUCGAACGGGCCGCAAGGCCAGUGGCGGAAGGGUGAGUAAUGCGACGGUAACCAACCCCGGAAAUGGGUAUAGCCGCGGGAAACUGCGGGUAAUCCCCAGCGACGUGUCGGGUCGGCAUCGACCUGACACCAAAGCUCCGGCGUUCCGGGACGGGCCGUUGUGGUAUUAGCUAGUUGGUGAGGUAACGGCUCACCAAGCCUACGAUGCCUUGGUGGCCGUUACCCCG